CACGUAGGGGGCGAGCGUUGUCCGGAUUUAUUGGGCGUAAAGAGCUCGUAGGCGGCUCAGUAAGUCAGGUGUGAAAACUCCAGGCUCAACCUGGAGACGCCACCUGAUACUGCUGUGGCUAGAGUCCGGUAGGGGAGCAUGGAAUUCCUGGUGUAGCGGUGAAAUGCGCAGAUAUCAGGAGGAACACCAAUGGCGAAGGCAGCUCGCUGGGACGGUACUGACGCUGAGGCGCGAAAGCGUGGGGAGCAAACAGG
rnacentral:rRNA from 1 species